GUUAAUGUAGGAUGUGUGCCGAAGAAGAUCAUGUUCAACACAGCAGUACAUGCUGAAAUGAUAAAAGAUCACAAAGAUUAUGGUUUUGAUGUGGAACUGAAACAGUUUACAUGGGGGAGAGUGAAAGCAGCAAGGGACAGUUACAUCAAACGACUGAAUGGAAUUUAUGAGUCCAAUCUAGACAAAUCCACAGUUGACCACAUACACGGUCACGCUAAAUUCACAGAUGAUGGGAAGGUAGAAGUAGGGGGCAACCUGUACGAGGCUGAUAAAAUCCUGAUUGCCACUGGGGGUCACCCGGUCAUCCCCGACACCCCAGGGGCGGAGCAUGGAAUCACCAGCGAUGGAUUCUUUGACCUAGAAGACCUUCCAAAGCGUGUGGUGGUUGUUGGCGCAGGCUACAUUGCUGUGGAGCUGGCAGGAAUAUUUGGAUCCCUUGGAGCCAAGACAUCCAUUUUGAUCAGAUAUGACCAGGUACUACGGAAUUUUGACGGGAUGAUCAGCCAAGCGGUUACAGACAAUCUGGAGCAUGGAGGGGUGGAGGUCUGUCGCAGGACCCAGAUAUCAAAAGUGACAAAGGAAGGAGACGGCACCCUAACACUGGAGCUGAACAAUGGUCAGAUAUCAAAGGUCGACUGCUUACUAUGGGCUGUAGGAAGACGACCCAACACUGCAAGUCUUAACCUAGAGAAACAGGGCAUUCAGAUGGAUAAAGCUGGACAUAUCAUUGUUGAUGAAUACCAGAACACUAAUGCUAAGAAUAUCUUUGCCCUGGGAGAUGUUUGUGGCAAAGCUCUCCUUACUCCAGUGGCCAUAGCAGCAGGGCGAAGACUUGCUCACCGACUCUUUGACAACAAGCCAGAUCUUAAGUUAGACUACAGCAACAUAGCCACAGUGGUGUUUUCCCACCCCCCAGUGGGCACUGUGGGCCUAACUGAAGAGGAAGCCAAAGCCAAGUACGGAGCGGAUAAAAUCAAGAUCUAUAACUCCACCUUCACACCCAUGUACUACGCCGUGACAUCCAGAAAGGAGAAGUGUUCGAUGAAGCUCAUCUGUGCUCUCCCAGAGGAAAAGGUUGUGGGUUUACACAUGAUAGGCCAGGCAGUGGACGAGAUAUUACAAGGUUUUGCAGUUGCCAUCAAGAUGGGCGCCACCAAGGCCCAGUUUGACGAGACGGUGGCCAUUCACCCCACUUCAGGCGAGGAGUUGGUGACACUCCGCUAAAAAUCUGUGUUCUAUAUAUUUGCAUCUCUCUUCAAGGAUUACCUCAGAUUGUAUAUCCAUGUAAUUUUCACAUAUUACCCAUGAUCUGUUUUUUUAUCUCUCGCAUUAAUCAAGUUGGUCUGUGAUUGAAAUAUUCUUGUAUAAUUGUUCGAUCAUCUAAAAUUAUUCUGCAAUAUUAUAUAUUUCAUGGAAAAAAUAAUCCAAUUAUUGUUGUUAUUAUAACAUUGUGAUAUAUAUAGAGGUUUGAAAAUACAAUAUAUAUAUUUU
rnacentral:misc_RNA from 1 species